AAACGAAGUCACAUUCCUGUUAGUCUCAGGAUCUGCCCUUACAGGAGGACCAAGCAGGUGGCUCAUGCUGUUAAGUUCUACAUCGGAGUGGAAGCAGAAUCCACAGGCCUGAGAAAUCCAAAAGAAAGACUAGCUACCACCGUCUGGAAACUUAAGUCUACUCAAGUCCAACAGGGCGCCCAGUCUUGCGCCCCCUCCCCUAAAUCAUCGGACCCGCGUUGCCUAGUAUGACGCCAUCCCUAGCUGAAAAGCAGCGUUUUCUUCCCUACUGAAGAGAUCAGCUUCAAAGUAUUUUUUUAAAAGUUGGUUUUAUCUUCCUUAA